AUGCUUGAAAAUUUUGGCGAGAUGCUAUAUGAGGGUGGGUCAUGUGUUCUGAUUGAAAUUGUGCCUCGCCGUGAAUACAUAGCAAGGCAUGUAAAGAAAGAUUCUCGAGACAAAUGGUGUAAAAAUGAAUUCCUCGUCCAGUUCAAUGAGCUUGCUGAUGAAUUCAAGUGUGAAUGUGGAAUGUUUGAGCAUUUCGGCAUGGUGUGCAGCCAUGCACUAAAGGAGGUUCCAGUCAAACACGUGCUGAAGCGUUGGACAAGGGAUGCAAUGAAUAUACCGCCUCCAGAGCUUCUCCUUUACCAGAAAGACCAAGGCCCUCUCAAGUACUCCUCACGGUGA
rnacentral:rRNA from 1 species